rnacentral:rRNA from 1 species
CGGAUAGAGCUAGCGAAGUCGUUCAUAUUCAGCCAAAGGCCCGUGGUCGCCUGCUGUCGAGUUGCUAAUCCCGCUCGGUGGUGGUCCGGCUGUGGGCUGAGGUGCAUUUGUGGACGUAUGCGCUGAGACUUGCGGGGCAGCUGCUGGACCCGUGUUCUAGAGGCCUCCCUAUGGGAGGAACCUGGUCGCGGCGACGGUUGUUUGCUCUGCUCGUAUGGGGACGGCCUACGGACCUGGCCUGCGCCGUUGUUCUCUUGCGGUGGUAUCGCAUGCGAUGCCUAGCUUGGGGGCAGCGGCUCGGUCUGUGGUUCCCGUUCCCGCUCUCGGUGUAGAAGCUGGUCAUCUCUCCGACCCGUCUUGAAACACGGACCAAGGAGUUUAGCGUAUGCGCGAGUCAUUGGGUGAGAAAACCCAUAGGCGUAAUGAAAGUAAAGGCCUGGUCGCUGGGCUGACAUGUGAGCGCUGAGGCUUCGGCCCUGGUGUGCAGCAUGGUCCCGUUCCGGUCGCUUGCGACGGAGCGGAGACAGAGCGUAUGCGCUGAG